rnacentral:pre_miRNA from 1 species
GGAAGAUGGGUUUCUUGGAAUUAUGGGAGUGGGCGGAUAGGCUAAAAAUAUCGAAAUGAUCCCCUGAUCAUCGAUAUUAUUGUAAUUCUUUUUGCCUACUCCGCCCAUUCCCCUGAUCUCAAGUCUCAUUUUUCCCCG